UAUCUCUGUAGAGUCUGCAUAUCAAUAAGCGGAGGAAAAGAAACUAACAAGGAUUCCCUUAGUAACGGCGAGUGAAGCGGGAAGAGCUCAAAUUUGAAAUCUUCAAGGUUCUACCUUGACGAAUUGUAGUUUAAAGAAGUGUUUUCUGUUAGAUGAGUAGCAAAAGUUCCUUGGAAUGGGACAUCAUAGAGGGUGAGAAUCCCGUAUUUGGUUAUUCAUUCUAGCUUUGUGAUACACUUUCAAAGAGUCGGAUUGUUUGGGAAUGCAGUCCAAAAUGGGUGGUAAAUUUCAUCUAAAGCUAAAUAUUGGCGAGAGACCGAUAGCGAACAAGUACCGUGAGGGAAAGAUGAAAAGAACUUUGAAAAGAGAGUUAAACAGUACGUGAAAUUGUCAAAAGGGAAGCGUUUGACACCAGUGUUGUUUUUCCGAAAAUCAAUUACGAAUGGCUUGAUUUUGUGUUGUAUUGACCUUAUCAGCUUUCUUCACUUUUUUCGAGUCUUUCUUAAUGCACUUUUCGGUUAACAAGUCAACAUCAAUUUCUUUUGUUAUAAAGAGUAUUCGGAAGGUGGCUUUCUUUUCGGAGAAAGUGUUUAUAGCCCUAUACUUCUACAAUCGGAGAGAUUGAGGUCUGCAGCGUAGAUCCUUCGGGGUUAGAUACAUUUGUGCUAAGUUGUAGCUUUUCAUAGACAACUUGUUGACUAUGUUUAGUCAUGCGGCUUACUCGCUUAUGCUAUUUUACCUACGCUUAGGAUGUUGACGAGACUGUCGAUCUC
rnacentral:rRNA from 1 species